rnacentral:rRNA from 1 species
GAUGAACGCUGGCGGCGUGCCUAAUACAUGCAAGUCGAGCGAACUUUUGAGAACUUUCCUCCUCUGGCUAUCGCCGCGCAGGGGAGUAUCACACGUGGAUACCCCCUCUAAGACUCUGGUAACUCCUCGAAACACCGGCGCUUAUCGGAUAACAUUUAUUGACACGUAUGCUUCAAUUAAAAAAUACCUUUUUGCUGUCACUUACAGAUGGAUCCGCGCCGCAUUAGCUAGUUGGUAAGGUAACGGCUUACCAAGGCAACGAUGCGUAGCCGACCUGAGAGGGUGAUCGGCCACACGGGAACUGAGACACGGUCAAGACUCCUACGGGAGGAAGCAGUAGGGAAUCUUCCGCAAUGGGCGAAAGCCGGACGGAGCAACGCCGGGUGAGGGAUGAAGGUCUUGGGUUGGAAAGACUCUUUUAUAGGGGAGGAAAAAAAGUGUAAGAAACUAGGGACAUCUUGACGGUACCUAAUCAGAAAGCCACGGCUAACUACGUG